ACCCUGCAGUCGAGCGGUAGAGAGAAGCUUGCUUCUCUUGAGAGCGGCGGACGGGUGAGUAAUGCCUAGGAAUCUGCCUGGUAGUGGGGGAUAACGUUCGGAAACGAACGCUAAUACCGCAUACGUCCUACGGGAGAAAGCAGGGGACCUUCGGGCCUUGCGCUAUCAGAUGAGCCUAGGUCGGAUUAGCUAGUUGGUGAGGUAAUGGCUCACCAAGGCGACGAUCCGUAACUGGUCUGAGAGGAUGAUCAGUCACACUGGAACUGAGACACGGUCCAGACUCCUACGGGAGGCAGCAGUGGGGAAUAUUGGACAAUGGGCGAAAGCCUGAUCCAGCCAUGCCGCGUGUGUGAAGAAGGUCUUCGGAUUGUAAAGCACUUUAAGUUGGGAGGAAGGGCAUUAACCUAAUACGUUAGUGUUUUGACGUUACCGACAGAAUAAGCACCGGCUAACUCUGUGCCAGCAGCCGCGGUAAUACAGAGGGUGCAAGCGUUAAUCGGAAUUACUGGGCGUAAAGCGCGCGUAGGUGGUUUGUUAAGUUGGAUGUGAAAUCCCCGGGCUCAACCUGGGAACUGCAUUCAAAACUGACUGACUAGAGUAUGGUAGAGGGUGGUGGAAUUUCCUGUGUAGCGGUGAAAUGCGUAGAUAUAGGAAGGAACACCAGUGGCGAAGGCGACCACCUGGACUAAUACUGACACUGAGGUGCGAAAGCGUGGGGAGCAAACAGGAUUAGAUACCCUGGUAGUCCACGCCGUAAACGAUGUCAACUAGCCGUUGGAAGCCUUGAGCUUUUAGUGGCGCAGCUAACGCAUUAAGUUGACCGCCUGGGGAGUACGGCCGCAAGGUUAAAACUCAAAUGAAUUGACGGGGGCCCGCACAAGCGGUGGAGCAUGUGGUUUANUUCGAAGCACCGCGAACCACCUUACCAGGCCUUGACUUCCAAUGAACUUUCUAAAGAAAGAUUGGGCCUUU
rnacentral:rRNA from 1 species